AGUAAAAGCUUAAAGAAAAAGGUUGCUUGCUUAGUUUUGAGAGAUCUAAAUGAUUAUCUCUUAUUGGGGGGAAUUAGCUCAGCUGGGAGAGCGCCUGCUUUGCACGCAGGAGGUCAGCGGUUCGAGCCCGCUAUUCUCCACCAGCUUUAAGGCGACGGGUUUGUAGCUCAGCUGGUUAGAGCACACCCCUGAUAAGGGUGAGGUCGAUGGUUCGAGUCCAUUCAAACCCACCAUUUUAGCGCUAUAUGCACAAAGCUUUCAGCUUACGUACUUUAGUACGCUGCGCUAAAACCUUUGCGCAUCUAGCAAGCGCUUAAAACCUUAUCAACUCUGCCGCAAGCGCGGCUAGCUUUAGGGGGUUGUAGGGGCGAUUAGCCACUGCCGCUAAGGCGGGCUUUGCUCGCAUUAGCGUUAACAUUGAGAUCUAAACAGAGUAUUUAACUCAAAUAUUCUGUUUAGGUUUUAUACCUAUGUUUUUUUAAAAUUUAUUGUUAAUUCCUAAGUAGUUUUAUAUGUUAACGCAUAUAAAACAUUUAAACCAAAUUGGAUACUCAAGUUUCUAUUCAAUAAUUUAAAGCUUAAAAGCGACUAGUCGCGCGAGCCGCCUGCUGAAGGCCUAAUUUUUAGCUUUGCUGAAAAUUUGAGAAUUAUUAAUAGAAUACUUAAAAUACUCAUUUAUCUUAA
rnacentral:misc_RNA from 1 species